GGAGAGGUGCUAGAGCGGUUGAAUAGGACGGUCUCGAAAACCGUUAUACCGGAAACGGUAUCGAGGGUUCAAAUCCCUCCCUCUCCG
rnacentral:tRNA from 2 species